rnacentral:rRNA from 1 species
AUGUCGCAUGAGAGACAAUUUAACUCAACGACGUCGCAUGGGAGCUAUUUGCCCGCUCCAACCAAGGUUUUGGUUACUGGUCAAAAUUCCAAGAUUUCCGAUGAUUACCGCAUAUUUCCGUGCCCCUCGGCGACCGCUGGCAAGCACGCCGUGGUCGCCGCGGUGGCCGUGCCUAACCUCCGUUUCGGCUGUGGCAUGCUGAACACCGGCAUCUUCAAGUCAAACGAGUCCGGCAUCACCUGCUUUAGCCGCGGCCCAUUGUCGCUGCCGUCGCAGCUCAAGAUCCGCAGCUUCUCCUACUGCUUCAUGGCCAUCGUAGAGUCAAGGGCCAGCCCGGUGUUCCUUGGCGGCGAGCCGGAAAAACUUGAAGCCCAUGCCACGGGGCCCAUUCAGUCCACCCGUUCGCCCAGGCCCUGCGCGAGCACCUGUGGGCAGCUCGCUGUUCUACUACCUUUCGCUGAGAGGUGUAACCGUCGGCGACACGCAGCUGCCGUUCAGCGCGUCUGA